UUUCAUCUCUUUACUUUUUUUGUUUGGAGAACUGAAACGUAGUAACUUCUUUUGGAAUUACCAUCCAUUCAUACAUUUUUUUAUCACUGCCUUUAUUAUUUCAAUUUAUUUUUUCAAAUGGUACUUUUUUAGAUUGCCAUUUCUUUAUUGGGAUUCCUGUGGCAUAGUCGAGCCCGAAGGCCUACCCAGAAUGCAUUGUUUUCCAAAAUGGUGGACGAAGCACAAUAAUACAUCGUGUGUGGUGUUCCUUCUUCGGCAAGACAGAAAAAGCCAAUAACCUUAACUUUUUUAAACGGUAUUCUGUCAUUAAGGAGUCGUCAAAGAUGAAGAUUUGCAUAAUCUUGCAGUAGAGAUUGGAAAAAGAUGGAAGGCAUUAGGAAGGGUUCUCAGGUUGAAAGAUUCUGAACUGGACAUGAUAGAU